CCUACGGGUGGCAGCAGUGGGGAAUAUUGCACAAUGGGGGAAACCCUGAUGCAGCGACGCCGCGUGAGUGAAGACGUAAUUCGUUACGUAAAGCUCUAUCAGCAGGGAAGAAAAUGACGGUACCUGAGUAAGAAGCUCCGGAUAACGACGUGCCAGCAGCCGCGGUAAUACGGAGGGGGCAAGCGUUAUCCGGAUUUACUGGGUGUUAAGGGAGCGUAGACGGUGUGCCAAGUCUGGAGUGAAAUUCCGCAGCUUAACUGCGGAACUGCUUUGGAAACUGGCGAACUAGAGUGCGGGAGGGGUAAGCGGAAUGCCUAGGGUAGCGGUGAAAUGCUUAGAUAUUAGGAAGAACACCGGUGGCGAAGGCGGCUUACUGGACCGUAACUGACGUUGAGGCUCGAAAGCGUGGGGAGCAAACAGGAUUAGAUACCCCUGUAGUC
rnacentral:rRNA from 1 species